rnacentral:rRNA from 1 species
AACGAACGCUGGCGGCGCGUCUUACGCAUGCAAGUCGAACGGCAAGAGAGGAGCUUGCUUCUCUCCUAGAGUGGCGGACUGGUGAGGAACACGUGGGUAAUCUACCCUUAAGAUGGGGAUAGCUGCUAGAAAUAGCAGGUAAUACCGAAUACACUCGGCAUAUCACAAGAGGUGUUGAGGAAAGGAAGCUACGGCUUCGCUUGAGGAUGAGCUUGCGUCCCAUUAGCUAGUUGGUGAGGUAAAGGCCCACCAAGGCGACGAUGGGUAUCCGGCCUGAGAGGGUGAACGGACACAUUGGGACUGAGAUACGGCCCAAACUCCUACGGGAGGCAGCAGCUAAGAAUAUUCCGCAAUGGACGGAAGUCUGACGGAGCGACGCCGCGUGGAUGAAGAAGGCUGAAAAGUUGUAAAAUCCUUUUGUUGAUGAAGAAUAAGGGUGAGAGGGAAUGCUCAUCUGACGACGGUAAUCGACGAAUAAGCCCCGGCUAAUUACGUG